GGCCGGACUUGACUUUGACACGUGAUCUAGAGCCUUCGGAGUAAACCGUUAUGUUUGUUCCAUCUCAUAAACUUUCAACGUUAAUUGACAGUUUGAUGGGGAUCAUCAUACAGAUGUCUGCUGUCACCAAGACUCCAACAGUUUCUGCAGCGAUGUGUGAUUUAUCUGAUGCACCACGAACGCACCACGAGCGCACCACGAGCCAGGUUAAAGUGAUUUUAGCAGAGUUCACCUGUCAGAGCUUUAUUUUAUGAUGCCACUUUGCUCAGGUGAUAAAACACUGGAAACACAACGAAGGUCGAUGGUGCCAGAUGUGGCCAAGAAAGAGAAGCAGGAAGACGAAGUCACCAGCCAGCUUGACAAGCACGUGCUUCUCUGAGCUGUUGUAGUGGAAGCUGGAGAAACAGAAGGAACAGGCCACGAGCUGCUGCCUAUCUGCAGGAAGCAGGCAAACACGGGAAGAUGUGCUUGCAAAGGCAGUUCACAUUUCUGCUGAGAUGACUACUCUGAUAGACUAUUAUAAUUAUUGUGUGCUGGAAAAGCAUCUUUGAUAGCAUUUAUGAAGUGACAACUAAUUAAAAUAAUAGACGUCUCUUUCAGUUCAAA